UCUUAUUUGAAAUUCAAACCAGAAGGAAGUCACCUCCGCAAAUGCCAAGUGUCCAGCCUCCACUUCCAUGAUGAUUCAGCACCACCUAGGGGCCAUUGUCAUUCAUUUCUUGCCAGGCUCAUUUCUUGCCAUAUUCAUUUAUUGCCACAAUAGAAUUCCUUUUUAAGUAUUGCAGCUGCACCCGCCACCGCCCCCUCGCCACUGCCAUCCACAUAAGAAAAGUACAGAAGCUUCUCUACACACAUUUUUCAAGACUCGGUUCCAGAUCUACUUCAGCUGGAAACUCUGGUCCACUAGCUUAGCACACAAGGAUCACUGCUGAGGAGUGUGGUUCACAUUUACAAUACACCACGGGGACUUCGCUUUAUUAUUAUAAGAACUGCUAUAAGCAUCUACUACAUGACAAGGCAUAUAUAGUUAUUUCUAAUGUAUACAAUAGUCCUUCAAAUUGGGUAGUAAUCCAUUUUACAGAUGAAGAAACUAAGGCUCUGAGAAGUUAAGCAAUUUAUCCAGAUCCCAAACCAGGGUUGACUUACUCUUUUCACUGUAAAACGCUGUCUCUCUAAUCUUACUGUGCGUAGAGCCAACAUGGCAGUGAGGGUGCUCAUUUUAAUGAUUCUAAAGCAGAACAUUCAAAUAAAUCUUGUCCUUCAAAGAAGUCACUUUGAAGCCUAUUCUGUCAUGCCAAUAGCUAAUGCUCAUAACAAUUGAGUCUCUGCUAUAGGAACUGCCUUCAGAGCUAUUUGUGAGCUGCACGACCUAAUCUCAUUACCUUAAAGUAUGUUAUAUGUUUGAAAAAAAUAUGGUAGAUACCAUUGGAGGACUGAAGGAUGUGCCAUCCCAAAAUUUGUAUGUUGAUUAUUUCUAAUGGAAAACAAUGGAGAAAUUCUAGUUUCAGAAAGGAAGAGCUGAUCUAUAUCUUCCUGUAUGGAGCAAGGGAUAAAGAAUCCUCUGGGACGGAUACUCUUCGAAGGCCCUGAGAUUUAUCCAUACCAGGAUGAGAAAAUAGCCCUUAUCACCAGAGACUUGGAGGCUGCAAGGAACCCGAAUAAACAAACUUACGAACAAAAUAACCUUUAUCUUCCACUUGCUUUACACCCCCUCAUAUAUCUCCUGUGACUCCCCUAGAAAAUUUUACUGUCCUAGCCAGAUUUUCUUUCUCCUGUUGUUUCUUCUCAAAUUUAUCAUUCUUUGUCUAAAAAGUAUAAGAAUAUCUUACUUUGGCCUCUUGUUCAGACUUCACUUUCUUGUGAAGAUCCCCAAGUACAUGUAAAACUAGUAAAAUUUAUACAUUUUUCUCUUGUUAAUCUGCCUGCUGUCAAUUUAGCUUCUACAUCCAGCUGACCAGCCCACUAAGAGCUAACAGAAGGGUUGAAGUUGAUCUCUGGUUCCCCGGUACCAUGCUGUUCAAGCAGUGUAAUCUCCCAGGUCCCUCCUCAGUAAAUUUCGAUUCAGUAUCACUGGGACAGGCCCAACAGUUUGUGGUUUUGUCAAGUACAUGUGACUGUAAUCACCAGGAAAGCUUGAGUAACACUGGUGCGAUGAUACAAGCAUGAGCUCUGGGGUCAGAAGGACUUGGGUGCAGAUCUGGCUCUGCCUUUUUUCUAGUUGUGCACCCCUAGGAAAGGCAAUUAAGGCCUUGAGUAUCAGUUUAUUCAUCUAUAAAAUGAAUAUUAGUAAUCAUUAAUAACCACCAAACAGGGGUGUGAAGACUGAAUGAUAUAAUGGGUGUGAAAUGCUAGCACAGUGCCUGGCACAUAGUAGGCACUUAAUACAUGGUCAUUACUAUUGUUAACUUAAUCACCCACUCAGCUUAAUGAAUUUGCCCUAUGUGACUUUUUGUUAUUUCUAAAAAUUAAAUCCACAGUGAAAGGAUAUGAGGAUACAUAAAAUACACUAUCAUAACGUAUAUUAUACUUCAUUAAAAAGUAAACAACUAAAGAUCCUUAGGAAAAGUGAUAGAUGAUAGAUAGCCAGAUAGGUAAAUUUUAGGAUAGGAAAAUGUUCUAGAAAUGAAAAACCAAACAUUUAAAACAGUUUAACACUCAGGAGAAUAACAAGUUUCUAGAAAUACACACACACACACACACACACACACACACACACACACACACACACACACUGAUACAAAAGGUAGAAACAAUCCAAGGGCCCAUCUGCAGAUAAACAAAAUGUGGUAUAUACAUACAAUAGAAUAUAAUUCCAUCUUUUUAAAAGGAAGGAAAUUCUUUUUUUUUUCUUUGAGACAGGGUAUCAUUCUUUCCCCAGGCUGGAGUGCAGGGGCAUGAUCAUGGCUCACUGCAGGCUCAAUCUCCUGGGCUCAAGCCUUUUUAAUUUUCUUGUAGAGAUGGGGGUCUUGCAAUGUUACCCAGGCUGGUCUUCAACUCUCAGCCUCUCCAUCUUAGCCUCCCAAAGUGCCCGGGCGAAAGAAAUACUGCCACAUGCCAUGACACGGAUGAGCCAGAAAACACUACGCUAAGUGAAAGAAGCCAGUCAGUAAAGAAUAAUACUGAGCAAUUCCACUCUAUAAGGUGUCUAGAGUAGUAAAAUUCAUAGAGACAGAAAGUAAAUGGUGGUUGCCAGGCACUGGGGGAAAGGGGAAAUGGGAGUUACUGUUUAAUGUGUCAGUAUUUCCGUUUUGCAAGUUGAAAAGAUUCUGGAGCUGGAGGGUAGUGAUUGUUAUAUAACAAUGUGAAUGUACUCACUGCCACUGAACUGUACAUUUAAAAAUGGUUAAGAUGGUAAAUAUUAUGUUGUGUAUUUUAUCACAAUUUUAAAAAAAAUUAAGAAAAUCAAGAUGAUAUCAAAUCACAGUUAAAUAUGAGUUUCAGAAAUAGCUUGUUCGGUUUGUGUUGCUACAAAGAGCCCCAUGUGAGUGAAAUACUUCUAAGUGUACAGAUUACAUCCUUUGGAAAAAUGAGCAAGUAAAUUCACAAGUAAUUUUGCAUCUGUAUUCUCAAACAAUGUGACCGCACUGCCUUAGUUGCCUGUUUUUCUUUCAAACUAUUCAUUUACAAGAUCACUCAAGAAAUGUUACUCAGCUAAGUGGGAGGCUAUGACUGGAAAACCUGUUCUGCCUUAACCCUGGCCUGGGGGAUGCUUUGAAAAAUGGCUGUGGUGCAUGGAGCACUCUAAGGAAAACACUGAGGGGUGUUAUCAUCCUGUCUUAAGGCACUGUGAUCUGUGCAGAGCUCUGCCCUGGGGCAGCUGGGCAAAGAGCAGGUGCAUCCAAGGCUUGGCCUGUGGCCUGGAUGACGUGGAACCCCCGUUACAAUAGCCUGCAACAGCACAGGAGUAGUGGCUGUCGGGGGAGCUUCAUCUGAACCCAAGCUGGUGAACGGGGCUUUGCCCCUCUGUUUUAUUUAUCUUUAAUUGAUUUUCUUUAACACUAGGUUUUCUUCAGGCCUCACAUUUAAUAAGAUGGAGUAUUUUUCUGAUGAGUGAUUAUGUGGCCCCUGGUGUAAAGAGAUUGCCUGAGAGGAGCCUGGCAGAACUGUAGUGAAAGCAUGGGGAAGUGUGGUGAAAACUGGAUGCAAGGAGAACAAAUGGAAAAUAAAGGCAGCUUAUAAGGUUAAAUCACUUGGCCAAGUAUACAAAACUAGAGGUUGUCCAAUCUGGAACCAGAAGCCUGAUCUCCUGGGACACAAGCUGAAGAGCAGGUGAGGAUGAAAUGAUGUGGAACCAAUGGCAUAGCUGAGACUUCAGGAAAGGAAAAUUCUUUGAGCCUUAUCUUCCUCGUCCAUAAAAUGAGGGAAGUAACAAUUAAAUAAUCACUAAAUUUCCUUUCAGCUCUAACCUUUUCUAAAUGCAAGCUGGAUAAAUUGAUACAACCUGGCAGCUGUUGUCAUAUUGCUAUAG
rnacentral:lncRNA from 1 species